UUAUAUAUUUUAUGUAUAUACAUAUAUAAUAUAUAUAUAUUUUUGUAUCUGCAGCUGUCCCUGUGGCCUGCCCACACACCAGCUUGACCCUGGCAGUGACCAUGGCAAUAGCACUGGCCCAGCUGCUGCAGACAUGGAAGGCAAGGCUGAGGCAGAGAAAACGCUCCUCUGAUUUUCAAGAUGAUCACUGGGUUACGUACAAGAGUGCAGCUGCAAAUACUGCAAGAACAACAAUAUUUCAGUAUCUUUACUAAUAAUUCUGUAUCUUGAAUGCCCGGCCCCGCUCCCUACAAGAUGGCCGCCACCGCUGAGGAGACCGCCGGGGGGGGGUUGGGAGCGGGGCGGGGCGAACACCCCUCAGGGCGAUCGCGGGGCUACCGGGGAAGAGGGAGAGGUGGGGAGCGGGGUGGCAGCACCAUGGGGGAGCAGAUGUGGGACAGCGACAGCGACGAGACCGUGGUGGAGGGCUCGGUGGCGGAGAGCGAUGUGGAGGAAGAGGAGUUCCACAGGAGGAGAUGGUUAUCUGUAUUCAAUAAGGACAUGGAUUUAACAACAGAAAUAAAAAAUAAUGGAGGAGUUUCCUCUCCAGAAAUCCAUUUUAUGCAUAUAGCUCACGGUCAUAUGUAUGGACUAAAGGUAAAACAGGUACAAAUAUGUACAGAAAUGAUACAUCUCCUUCUAUGCAUAUCUAGCUAUUAA
rnacentral:lncRNA from 1 species